rnacentral:rRNA from 1 species
GGAAGGAUCAUUACUGAAUUGUCAACAUGGGCUGUUGCUGGUCUCCAAACGGGGAUAUAUGUGCACGCUCUGUUCACACAUCCACUCACACCUGUGCACCCUCCGUAGUACUGUGGCUUGGGGGCUCUGUCCUCCUGCUGUGGUUCUAUGUCUUUACCUACACACACGCUGUAAAAAAGUCUUAUGGAAUGUAUACCGCGUUCGACGCAAUACAAAUACAACUUUCAGCAACGGAUCUCUUGGCUCUCGCAUCGAUGAAGAACGCAGCGAAAUGCGAUAAGUAAUGUGAAUUGCAGAAUUCAGUGAAUCAUCGAAUCUUUGAACGCACCUUGCGCCCUUUGGCCAUUCCGAAGGGCAUGCCUGUUUGAGUAUCAUGAAUACCUCAACUCCUCAUGGCUUGCCAUGACGAGCUUGGACUUUUGGGGGUCUUGCUGGUCUUUGGUGUCAGCUCCUCUCAAAUGAAUCAGCUUCCCGGUGUUUGGUGGCAACGUAGGCGUGAUAACUAUCUGCGCUUGCGGUUUUCCAUCAGAUCGCCUCCAGAGAUAUGGAGGUUCGCUGGAGCUCACAAACGUGUGUUCUCCUCCCCUCUCCUGAGUGAGGAUGGCACUUUGAAUGUUUGAUCUCAAAUCAGGUAGGACUACCCGCUGAACUUAAGCAUAUCAAUAAGCGGAGGAAAAGAAACUAACAAGGAUUCCCCUAGUAACUGCGAGUGAAGCGGGAAGAGCUCAAAUUUAAAAUCUGGCGCGCCUCUGGCCGUCCGAGUUGUAGUCUGGAGAAGCGUUUUCCGUGUUGGACCGUGUAUAAGUCUCUUGGAACAGGGCGUCAUAGAGGGUGAGAAUCCCGUCUUUGACACGGACUGCCAAUGCUUUGUGA